GCGCCCGUAGCUCAACUGGAUAGAGCGUUGGACUACGGAUCCAAAGGUUGGGGGUUCGACUCCUCCCGGGCGCAUCA
rnacentral:tRNA from 1 species